CCUACAGGUGGCAGCAGUGGGGAAUAUUGGGCAAUGGGCGAAAGCCUGACCCAGCAACGCCGCGUGAAGUAAGAAGGCUUUCGGGUUGUAAACUUCUUUUGACAGGGAAGAGAAGAAGACGGUACCUGUCGAAUAAGACACGGCUAACUACGGGCCAGCAGCCGCGGUAAUACGGAGGUGGCAAGCGUUGUCCGGAUUUACUGGGUGUAAAGGGCGUGUGGCCGGGCUGACAAGUCAGAUGUGAAAUCCGGGGGCUCAACACCCGAACUGCAGUUGAAACUGUUGGUCUUGAGGAUCGGAGAGGCAGGCGGAAUGCCUAGUGUAGCGAUGAAAUGCAUAGAUAUUAGGAGGAACACCAGUGGCGAAGGCGGCCUGCUGGACGACAACUGACGGUGAGGCGCGAAAGCGUGGGUAGCAAACAGGAUUAGAUACCCUAGUAGUC
rnacentral:rRNA from 1 species